UACGAAGGGGGCUAGCGUUGCUCGGAAUUACUGGGCGUAAAGCGCACGUAGGCGGUCUUUUAAGUCGGGGGUGAAAUCCUGGAGCUCAACUCCAGAACUGCCUUUGAUACUGAGAGUCUUGAGUAUGACAGAGGUGAGUGGAACUGCGAGUGUAGAGGUGAAAUUCGUAGAUAUUCGCAAGAACACCAGUGGCGAAGGCGGCUCACUGGGUCAUUACUGACGCUGAGGCACGAAAGCGUGGGGAGCAAACAGG
rnacentral:rRNA from 1 species